AGAGUUUGAUCCUGGCUCAGAUUGAACGCUGGCGGCAUGCCUUACACAUGCAAGUCGAACGGUAACAGGUCUUCGGAUGCUGACGAGUGGCGAACGGGUGAGUAAUACAUCGGAACGUGCCCGAUCGUGGGGGAUAACGAAGCGAAAGCUUUGCUAAUACCGCAUACGAUCUACGGAUGAAAGCAGGGGACCGCAAGGCCUUGCGCGAACGGAGCGGCCGAUGGCAGAUUAGGUAGUUGGUGGGAUAAAAGCUUACCAAGCCGACGAUCUGUAGCUGGUCUGAGAGGACGACCAGCCACACUGGGACUGAGACACGGCCCAGACUCCUACGGGAGGCAGCAGUGGGGAAUUUUGGACAAUGGGCGAAAGCCUGAUCCAGCCAUGCCGCGUGCAGGAUGAAGGCCUUCGGGUUGUAAACUGCUUUUGUACGGAACGAAAAGACUCUGGUUAAUACCUGGGGUCCAUGACGGUACCGUAAGAAUAAGCACCGGCUAACUACGUGCCAGCAGCCGCGGUAAUACGUAGGGUGCAAGCGUUAAUCGGAAUUACUGGGCGUAAAGCGUGCGCAGGCGGUUAUAUAAGACAGAUGUGAAAUCCCCGGGCUCAACCUGGGAACUGCAUUUGUGACUGUAUAGCUAGAGUACGGCAGAGGGGGAUGGAAUUCCGCGUGUAGCAGUGAAAUGCGUAGAUAUGCGGAGGAACACCGAUGGCGAAGGCAAUCCCCUGGGCCUGUACUGACGCUCAUGCACGAAAGCGUGGGGAGCAAACAGGAUUAGAUACCCCGGUA
rnacentral:rRNA from 1 species